AUUGAACGCUGGCGGCAUGCUUUACACAUGCAAGUCGAACGGGCUGGGGGCAACUCCAGUCAGUGGCGAACGGGUGAGUAAUACAUCGGAACGUACCUCGUAGUGGGGAUAACUCGGCGAAAGCCGUGCUAAUACCGCAUAUGCUCUACGGAGGAAAGCAGGGGACCGCAAGGCCUUGUGCUAUGGGAGCGGCCGAUGUCCGAUUAGCUAGUUGGUGAGGAAUGGCUCACCAAGGCGACGAUCGGUAGCUGGUCUGAGAGGAUGAUCAGCCACACUGGGACUGAGACACGGCCCAGACUCCUACGGGAGGCAGCAGUGGGAAUUUUGGACAAUGGGGGCAACCCUGAUCCAGCCAUGCCGCGU
rnacentral:rRNA from 1 species